rnacentral:tRNA from 1 species
UUUAAUGUAGCAUAAUUUAAUGUGAAGAGUUUAAGCCUCUUAGAUUUUCAUUAAA